CGGCACGGGUGGAGUAACACGUAUCCAACCUGCCGUCUACUCUUGGACAGCUUCUGAAGGAAGAUUAAUACAAGAUGGCAUCAUGAGUCCGCAUGUUCACAUGAUUAAAGGUAUUCCGGUAGACGAUGGGGAUGCGUUCCAUUAGAUAGUAGGCGGGGUAACGGCCCACCUAGUCUUCGAUGGAUAGGGGUUCUGAGAGGAAGGUCCCCCACAUUGGAACUGAGACACGGUCCAA
rnacentral:rRNA from 1 species